GACGAACGCUGGCGGCGUGCUUAACACAUGCAAGUCGAACGGUGAAGCGCCUUCCUUUUUGGUGGGUGUGGAUGAGUGGCGAACGAGUGAGUAACACGUGAGUAACCUGCCCCCUUCUUCUGGAUAACCGCAUGAAAGUGUGGCUAAUACGGGAUAUUCUGGGUCUGUCGCAUGAUGGGUCUGGGAAAGAUAUUGUUUCGGUGGGGGAUGGGCUCGCGGCCUAUCAGCUUGUUGGUGGGGUGAUGGCCUACCAAGGCGGUGACGGGUAGCCGGCCUGAGAGGGUGGACGGUCACACUGGGACUGAGACACGGCCCAGACUCCUACGGGAGGCAGCAGUGGGGAAUAUUGCACAAUGGGCGCAAGCCUGAUGCAGCGACGCCGCGGGAGGGAUGGAGGCCUUCGGGUUGUGAACCUCUUUCGCCAGUGAAGCAGGCCUGCCUCGUUUGUGGGUGGGUUGACGGUAGCUGGAUAAGAAGCGCCGGCUAACUACGUG
rnacentral:rRNA from 1 species